rnacentral:tRNA from 1 species
UUUUAGGUGACUGAGUUUUAAGUGUUAGACUUUUAAUCUAAUCACGGCUUUUUCUAUGCCCCUAAGAA